rnacentral:lncRNA from 1 species
CUAGGAGGCCCUGUGACACUGCCCCACCCCCAUUCAGCUACAGUUCACUAGUUCAGGGUGCAGAGCCAAAAGUCAGGCUUGAACUGAUCCAAGCACACUGAGCAGUGGCUGCAGUGUGGUCUCUUACAAAAGCAGUUUAUAAGCUGGGCCAGUGUGACUUCGACAUUCUAUAUGAAUGUCCAGAAUAGGUAAAUCCCGGGAGACAGAAAUCAGAUUGGAAUUCAAAAUUUCUCAGUGCAAAUAUCAAACUCCUACUCAGAUGCACCAAAUGGAGACUUGGCUGCUUUUGCAAGCAUCUAUUUACUCAGAAGAAGAAAGCUCACACUCAGUGAAAAGGUACCUUAUUCUAUCUGAUAAUUCAAAUGCCUCUUUGCUUAAGAGAUAAUUAUUUGCUUAAGAUAAUUAUUUAAAAGGGAUACCAUUAUAGACAAACCAUCUUCUUAGUGGGGAGAGGACCCAAUCCAGCUCCAUAUUACAUAUUUAUGUUUCUUAAAAUUAAAAGACUCACAGCAAGGAGAAAGAAGAACUAGUGCAGAAAGAACAGUUUGUGCUCACUAGAAAAGAUGAGAUGCUGAGAUGGUGGAUGUUACUGGAUAGUGUACUUUAAUGGCUUUUUAAAAAUUUAUGUGCAUUGCCUUCUUUCUCUUAGUCUGUGUUCUAAUGAUAGAGAGCAAAUCAGUGGCUUAAUAAUGUUUUCUACUAGCAGAAAAAUUACAGUAACCAAGUGUACCUGAAAGCUUGUAAUUUUCCUGGCCAGCUAUCUUUAGGUUUAUUCCUUUUAUUACAUUAAAAAUGGAGGCUAAUUAAGGCAACUGGGGCUAGUGCAGGCCAAAUUGGAUUUUUAUUAUAGCUUUCCCUUCAUCUCACAGAAUGAUGUCAUUAAGUGUGCAGGCUAUGAAAUGCUAAGGGCAGACUGUUUCCACUGUAAUAUGGGUCAUGCAGGCAUGCAAAGGAAAUACACCACAGAAUACCAUAAAUCUUUAAAGAGUUACAAUAAGACCUAUGUGGAGGCAAGCAGAAUAUGGACGUUUACUUCUUUUUGUAAACAGAUUCUAUGAAUGCAGAAGGAAUGUAAGUGGGAAAUUCCCUCAAGGAAAAGAUGACAUGACAGUGUCAUAUCACUAGUGUCAUAUAUAGGCUAGUUAGGUGUGCUCUUGAAUGGUCAUUUGCCUUUGGAGGAUUUACAUACAAGGUGUUAU